rnacentral:rRNA from 1 species
AUUGAACGCUGGCGGCAGGCCUAACACAUGCAAGUCGAACGAGUGGCGGACGGGUGAGUAAUGUCUGGGAAACUGCCUGAUGGAGGGGGAUAACUGCUGGAAACGGUAGCUAAUACCGCAUACAAUCGGUUGUGCCCAGAUGGGAUUAGCUAGUGGGUGGGGUAAAGGCUAACCUAGGCGACGAUCCCUAGCUGGUCUGAGAGGAUGACCAGCCACACUGGAACUGAGACACGGUCCAGACUCCUACGGGAGGCAGCAGUGGGGAAUAUUGGGCAAUGGGCGCAAGCCUGAUGCAGCCAUGCCGCGUGUAUGAAGAAGGCCUUCGGGUUGUAAAGUACUUUCAGUGGGGAGGCGUUACCCGCACAAGAAGCACCGGCUAACUCCGUGCCAGCAGCCGCGGUAAUUC